UGGAUAAAAAAAACUUAAAGUAAAAUAGUAAGCUAAUAAUGAAAUAAGAGUCUGAUUUACUAUACUUCUAUGACUAUAGAUUUUUUUGUAUUUAUAAAUUUUCAGUCGUUAGAUUUAUUUUUUUGAUCAUUUUUACCCGUUUUAUAUAUAUAUAUAUAUAAGUCUGGCUGCUAUGCUAUCGAUAGCACCAAGCACUUGGUGCUAUCAAGUUUUCUGCCGUUAGAUUAACUCCUUUAAUUAUUUUUACCCGUUAGAUUAUACUAUUAAACCAACCACCCACUCAACCCUAGGGGGGCCCACAUCAUCCUAACCGCACAUCUUUUAAUCCAAGGGCGGAAACUUAAUAGCACCAAGUCAUUGGUGCUAUUAAUAGUAUUCUAACCUAGUUCUAUAUACUAGUGUAGUGACCCGCACGAUGCAGCGAAAAAAAAUAUUUUAAUAAAAAUUUACAAAUUAAAUAAAUAAAUAUGAAUAUAAAGAAGAAAAAAAAUAUAACUAUAUUUGAUUAGACUUAAUAAUAUAAAAAAUACAUUAAAAAAUAUUUAAAAUGGAAUCACAACUCAACAAAAAAUAAUAAAAGAAACAGAAAAAAAAAGAUAAGAAUUAUAUGAGAAGAAAAAUUAUUACAUAGAUAUUAUAAAAAAAAUGUUUGAAAUAUUGCAAGUGAAAUAUAAUAAAUAUUAAAGAGCACAUUGAACAGAUUUUAAUUGACAUUUAACAAAUCAAAUAAACAGAUUCAUCCGUCCGAUUCUUUUUUUGACGCAAAUCAAAUUUUUUAAAAAAUCAAUAAUGAAGUAACCCGAGCAUUAUAUAUAUAUACACAUGCGCGACAUCGACGCGAUAUUUUAAUUAUUGUAUCUAUAACCUAUAUGAAUUCCCAAUGUUUGUUGCCACGUGGCAAAUUCUACUUCACUCUCACUAGCAUGUAACUCUUUUUCUUCUCUUCACCAAAUUUUCAAUAUACAUUCUAACGAUCCCACUAAUCAAACCAUCAAUUAGUGUAUUUAAUGGUCCCACUACCAUUUACAAUUGUAUUGUUUCUAUCUACAAUAAUUCAUUAUGACUAUUUUCCUUUCCUCCACUAUAUUUUCAAUUAGUGCAAACGGUUCCACUAUCAAACUUUCAUUUAGUAUAUUUAAAUGGUUCCAUUACCAUCUACAAUCCUAACUUCUCUUCUCUAAUUAUUAAUUAUGAGCAUUUUUCCUUUCCUCCAUCGGACUUUCAACUCUUUAUUUUCAAUUUAUUCAUCAAUUCUCUAUCUCUCAUCUUUUGCUAUACACCAUCGCUUCUUUCCCUCACUCCCUCUUUCUCUCUCACGAAUGCACGCCCACUUUCUUCUUU
rnacentral:lncRNA from 1 species